rnacentral:snoRNA from 1 species
UGGCAAUGAUGAUUUCCCACUUCAGGUCCGUGUUUCUGAACCCUGAUUAUUUGGAAGUCCUGAGUGA